UAUUGAUGGUGCGGGUAGUCCCUGAGUAAAGAUUUAUACCUCUCCCAAGCAUGAUAUAAUUUUUCAUCCAACUUCUACUUAAAAAUCAGUAUCUCACUUCUCAACCU
rfam:Capsicum annuum cultivar Zunla-1 chromosome 4, whole genome shotgun sequence